rnacentral:rRNA from 1 species
AACGAACGCUGGCGGCAUGCCUAACACAUGCAAGUCGAACGAGACCUUCGGGUCUAGUGGCGCACGGGUGCGUAACGCGUGGGAACCUGCCCUUAGGUUCGGAAUAACUCCCCGAAAGGGGUGCUAAUACCGGAUAAUGUCUUCGGACCAAAGAUUUAUCGCCUUUGGAUGGGCCCGCGUUGGAUUAGCUAGUUGGUAGGGUAAAAGCCUACCAAGGCGACGAUCCAUAGCUGGUCUGAGAGGAUGAUCAGCCACACUGGGACUGAGACACGGCCCAGACUCCUACGGGAAGCAGCAGUGGGGAAUAUUGGACAAGGGGCGAAAGCCUGAUACAGCAAGGCCGCGUGAGUGAUGAAGGCGUUAGGGUUGGAAAGCGCUUUUACCCGGGAUGAUAAUGACAGUACCGGGAGAAUAAGCUCCGGCUAACUCCGUG